GCAGUCGACAGCCCACGAGCAUCACUGCUCCAGAAAGGCCCCUCACAGGCUCCAGUCAUUCCCCAAAAUACAUCUGGGGCUCCCCAGCAACAGCAACUGGGCUGCCAGAAAUGACAACUUAUACAAAGAAUCAUGGAUGUCAUGGCAGCCAAGAGCCGUUAUUUAGACACAUUAACAGAACUCAUUUGUUGCCAGGGAAUCCAAAUAAACCAGAUAAACCUUA